rnacentral:lncRNA from 1 species
UCAGCUAUCAUUUGACUCAAAGACAUCAAAUUACUGAGACUCUAACCUGAAUACUUGUACCAUUACUAUUUGCUGCCAUAAGAGGCAGUGACGGUUUCUUAUUGAUUAAUGGUAACAAGUUACAACACAUCACCCUAAUGAUUAUGACAUCUACCAACGUGACCACCGCCAUAUCCUCAGUUGCUGUCGCCAUUAGCAGCGCUGCCACUGCUACAGAAAGAUUGAACUUGGUUCGCAGAAAUAAUAUUGUUUUCUUCAAGAUUGAGAUUAUUCAUUCCUUCCAAAACUUCACCCAUAGUCUGCAGAUAAUUGUUCUCUGCUUCAGCCGCAACCAGAAAAUCGUCGACCAUUUUUUCCAUGCCUCUAUUCGCUGAAAACAUUAGCUUGUUC